rnacentral:tRNA from 1 species
AUCCAGGUAGCUCAGCGGUAAAGAGUCUGCCUGACAAGCAGGAGACAUGAGUUCAAUCCCUGGAUC